rnacentral:misc_RNA from 1 species
GUUGGUGAACCAGCGGAGGGAUCAUUACAGAGUUGCAAAACUCCCACAAACCAUUGUGAACAAUACCCCCAAAACCGUUGCUUCGGCGGGCGGCACCCGGGCCUCAACCCCCCGGGAGCCGUCGCCCCAACCCCUCCCUAGCGGGGGGGCCAGGGCGCCCGCCGGAGGUACCUAACUCUUGACCUUUGUAUGGCCUCUCUGAGUCUCUGUACUUUAAUAAGUCAAAACUUUCAACAACGGAUCUCUUGGUUCUG